rnacentral:rRNA from 1 species
AGCGAACGCUGGCGGCAGGCCUAACACAUGCAAGUCGAACGAACUCUUCGGAGUUAGUGGCGGACGGGUGAGUAACACGUGGGAACGUGCCUUUUGGUUCGGAAUAACUCAGGGAAACUUGUGCUAAUACCGAAUGUGCCCUUCGGGGGAACGAUUUAUCGCCAUUAGAGCGGCCCGCGUCUGAUUAGCUAGUUGGUGAGGUAAUGGCUCACCAAGGCGACGAUCAGUAGCUGGUCUGAGAGGAUGACCAGCCACACUGGGACUGAGACACGGCCCAGACUCCUACGGGAAGCAGCAGUGGGGAAUCUUGCGCAAUGGGCGAGAGCCUGACGCAGCCAGGCCGCGUGAAUGAUGAAGGUCUUAGGAUUGUAAAAUUCUUUCACCGGGGACGAUAAUGACGGUACCCGGAGAAGAAGCCCCGGCUAACUUCGUG